rnacentral:lncRNA from 10 species
CCCAUUUUUAGUAUUUUAUAUACAGUGUAACAUUGCUCUUCUACACAAAAUCGAGACAGAAUCCUGCCAGUCACUGAUGCACUUACUGGAACAAAACAAGUUGCCAGGAUCUUAGGGGAGCUUUUUUCUUCUAACUCAAGAGCUUUAGAAGAAUUUGUGCAUUGGAGAUUCUUCACCUGCCGCAUCUCAGGUGUCAAGAACCCAGGGUUGUCCUUUGAGUAGGGAGCUAAAAAGGCUGCACGCUCCCUCCCUCUGCAGUCCCUUUGCUGUGCCUGCGGGAAGGUCCUGGCCCCCGUGUUCAGAAUCGUCCUCUGCCCUUGCCGGAGCUGCCAUUCUCCUUCAAUAUCUCUUGCUUGCUCAGAAUGUCUGAGUGGGAAUGGACUACUCUGAGCCUAACAUUUCCACCUGCCAAGACAUUCAAACGUAUUACCAGUCAAUUCAUUCCUCAAUCUUAUCCUGCAGCUGUCAGUGACUCAGCCCGUGCAAGAACCACCUGCUACCACAUAUCCAGACACCUUGUGUCCUGCUUGUACUUUAUGCUGACUUAGAAAUGGUCCUGCCACAUCCUCAGAGAGGGCAUCACCGCCUGCAACAGGGGCUCCAUGGAAUUGCCCAGCUCCACAACCCACCUCGGAGGUCUGCUGGCCAGGCUCACACAUCGCUUUAGCCUGCGAUUUGCAGAAACCAGAGGCAGACCAAAACCUCCGGAGCUACUUCUUGUUUCAGGGGUGCAAUCCUGGGACACAUGAGUGAGAAGAAAGAGUUGUGAGGCAAGGGAGGAGGAACUCAAUAUGGGUGUGCAUCCCCCAUGCUGGCCUCUGCUGGGUCUGGUUACUGAGUGUUCAGUCUCGCUGGACCUGGUCCUGGUGAGGCUGAUGAAAGUGCCUCCUCAGGGCAGUCUGUCUGCAGUAAGAAGAGAAAGGAAUUUAACCACCAGCUCCCAUCAAAGGUCUUUUGCCUGUACCAUUGACUCUCUCACACUUCUGGCUGUGUGUGCAUUGGAGUCUCAGGUGUCAUGUCAUGCCUGUGUCACUGUGAACCCCCACAGCAGGAGGUAAUCUAUAUCUGGAAACUUUCUCUCAAGACUACUUUAUUCACUCAGGAUUUUAAAGAGAGUAUUAUAUCAAACCUUACCUUCCUCCCCACUCUGAGUAAAGAAGAACCUGUCAAGGCUGCUGCGGGCCUUGAUGGAGCAAUUUGUAAGCUCCUUCUCCAAGUUCUGGAAGGAAGUGCUGCCUUCUUUGUGAGCUGCUGUUCUCCCUUUAAUUGAACAGAAAAUGCUGCUAGCUGUAAGGAAUAGAAAUGAAUGCUUCAUGCGACACGAAAAUACAGCAAAACUCGUUUCUUUUGCAUUCCGUGUGCCUGCCAAAAAUAAAGAAGAAAAAAAGAAGAUGCAUUCUAUUAAGUAGGAGAUUGGGUCAGCCAUUUCAGGAAGACCCUUUUUACAUAAAUUCCACGUUAAGGAAGGAGUUCCAUGACGUUUAUCAAAAUCUCUGUUCAGUUAAAUCGUAUCACAGGAAGUCCUUCACAGAAAGAUGAAUAGAAGAGGCAGAAAGGUAGUGGGGAAAAGGCAAGACAUUUCAUAGGAAAGACAAACUGGAAGGUGGGAAUAGCAUUAGUAAUAGUUACAAGCAUAGCAAUUCUAACAUUUCCUGUUAUUCACUGAAAACUGUGACCCUGAUGGAUCUCAAUGUACUUCAACAGUGUUAUUGUGUCUUUCAGAAUUUUUGCAAGGGAAAUUGCGCUGGAUGGUCAGCCAUUUAGAUUCUCGCUGGCUUAGAUUUCAGGAAUUGAACCAGGUGGAGGGUAAGGCCUGUAGACUCACCUGAAGAAUGUUUGGAUGUCUGAUUCAUGACUCCUUCUUGAGUUUUCAGCAUUAAAAUGUGCUUUUUGUACACAUAUUUUCUUUCUUCUUUUUACUGUCCAUGGCCAAAUUUCUUCUUACUGAACUAAUAUGAAUUUGACGCUGCUAUGAAAUUUCUCCUGUAAUGUGAAACGUAUCCACUUCUGUUGAAAGUGAAACUCUGACUCUUAGGAUUAUACAGAAGUUAUUAGCUAAAAAUAUAAUUUACAUACAAAAUACAGUAGAGGGUCUUACAACUCUCAUAUUUACUAGAAUAUUUGCCAACAAAGAAUCUACCAAGGGACCCUAACGAUGUUUUACCCUUUUUGUGCCCGGUAGUUAUGGCUACCAGCUCUUCUUAUUUUUUAGUCAGUGAUAUAAGAAUAGUGGUAGAUGUCGUACCUGAAAAAGUGUCACCUCCUGUGCAUUCUCAGGGAAGUGUAAUUCAAAAGGACCAUUUAGUCAAGUUUUAAAUGUAAUAUCUGGAACCUCAAAAGACCCAUGAAAUGGACUUUGAUGGCCUUUCUUGGGAUUUUUUUUUUUCAGGAACAGUGACCACUAAAUAAAUGGAAAGCUGUUUCCUGUAAUCAGACUCCCAUGACCCACCUACAGUAUUAAAUAUUUCAGAAGCUCAAGAACAUUAUGUGCAGAACCUCAAAUAGUAGGCAGGUGCUGGAUUUUAAAGGUUCUCUUGCUGUUUGCCAUCCAUGCAUCCUGUAGUCCUACGUGUGUAAAUCUAACCAUCACCAUGGGGUUCAAAUGGGAUCUUGAAGAAUUACAUGGUCUAUUUUCACCAGCAUUAUUUUAGACAAGCGACUGCUAAAUUAGUUGAAUAUUCAACGCACAGAACAUUUGAUUGUCAAAAGAAGUCAAUGAAACAAAAGAAAAAAGUAACUUAGAACUUUUCAUGCAUUGCUGGUGGAAAUGUAAAAUGGUGCAGCUACUUUGAAAACGGUUUGGCAUCUCUCUAAAUAUGAAACACUGUGUUCCCAUGUCCCCAGCAAUUCUACUUCUAGGCAUGCACCUGAGAGAAAUGAAAGCACACGUCCACACAAAAGCUUGUGCAUGAAGGUUUACAACAGCAUUACUGACAACAGUCCAAAAUGCAAACCAUCCAAGUAUCCAUGACCUGACGGAUGUAAACACAGGCUGGCGUAUCACACUGUGUAAUCCCAUCCACGGUGAAAGGGGAUGAAUGACUGAUGUGUGCUGCAAUAUGGAUGAUCCUUGAAAAUUUGGAGUGAAAGAAAGUAGACUCAAAAGCCACAUGUUGUAUGAUUCCAUUUACAUGAAAUGUCCAGAACACAGAAGCCAUAACAAGAAAAAAGUAGAUGAGCGAUGACAAAGGGCAAUGGGGAGGAGGAGACAGAGAGUGAUGGCUAAAAAAAUGGCUAACGUCGGCCAGGUGUGGUGCCUCACGCCCGUAAUCCCACUUUGGGAGGCCGAGGCUGGCAGAUUACCCGAUGUCAGGAGUUCAAGACCAGCCUCGCCAACAUGAUGAAACCCCAUCUCUACUACAAAAAAAUACAAACAAUUAGCUAGGCAUGGUGGUAGGCACCUGUAAUCCCAGCUACUCGGGAGGUUGACACAGGAGAAUCGCUUGAACCCGGGAAGCGGAGGUUGCAGUGAGCCAAGAUCAUGACAUUGCACUCCAGCCUAGGCAACAAGAAUGAAACUCCAUCUCAAAAAAAAAAAAAAAAAAAAAAGAAAGAAAGAAAAGAAAAGAAAAGAAAAAAAGAAAGAAAGAAAUGACUAAUGUCAUAUCCUUAAGAUGUGGUGAUACAUUCUGAAGUCAGCAGCAAUAGUUGCAAAUUACUAUAGGUGUGAACAUACUAAAAACCACUAAACAGCACACUUCAAAAGGGUGAGAGUUACAGUAUAUUAACUACAUCUCAAUAAAGCUGGAAACAAAAGCAACCAAGGACAAAUACAUCAUUUUAAUGACACAAAUAGGUAAAAUAUCAAUGAGUACAGACACCAUUCAGUGCUAACAGUGGUGUUUAUCAGUUAUUUUUCUAUCAUAGCCCAAAUAUCACAGGAAAAAUGUCUCUGUAGCUCCCCAAAUUCAGGUUUCACAGAUAUAUAAUCAGUCAGCUGGUCCAUCUGUCAGCCAACAGGUAAUAUCUAUUCAGCUCUCACUGGGUACGGAAAAUUCAGAUGGGAAAUUAAUGACAACACAUAACGGUGACUAGUUACGGUUAAUCUAAGUAGUUAUUAUAAUAUGAAAAGCAGGUAGACAAAACCCACCUACCCUUCAACCUCUUGCAUUGUGGGUAAUAAUACCAUUUCAUGGAAAUCCAGAGCAACUCUUCUUCAGGGAAAGUUGGGCACGCUCUGUCCAGAGGAAGAAAGCAGAGGUUCAGCUGGCAGGAGCAUGAAUGGAGGAGCCCACAUUCAGCAGGGAUGGUGAAAACAUGCUGCUGAGUUGAGUUAAUGUUCAUUCAUGUUAUUUCAGCAAAUGAGCACCUAAUGAACAUCUGCUCUGUGCAAAGCCCUAUGCUGAAUAUUAUGAGACAUAAAUGUAUUUAGACUGUGCCUUGUAGGAGUUUGUGAUUCGCCUGGAGACAGUCCAUAGUGUGUUGUGAGUACUCAGAACUUGGAAUCUGAGUUCUGGAUUCAGACUCUAUCCAUGUCCUUUACUGCUUGUUACAGUAAGAUUUAGUCACUAAACUUCUCUGAGCACCAAUUUUCACGUAAUUUACCAAGUGCAUCUAAUGUUAUCUAUCCUGCUUAUCCCAUAGAAUCAGUCUAAUGGCCAAACAAGAUAACGCAUAAGCAUAAAUUUUAUGGGAGAAACAAAAUAUGCAGUCAAAGGCAUUUUCUUUGGAUUUUAGUGCUAAAAUGGCUUUCAGGACAGUGAUAAAGAGGUGAUCUGUAACAUGAAGAAUGGGUAAGAUUUUUCGAGCCAAAGAGGAAUAAAGAAAAUAUCUUCUGUAUGAGAGAAAGAGGGGACAUCAUGAGCUAAAGUAAAAAGGAAAGAGGGCAAUAAGAUAUUCUCACUAUUAGACAGCUUCUGCUUCAAAACAAACAAAUUUUGGUAGCAUGCAUUUAUUUUACACUCACGCAUCAGAUGGUUCAGUGGGGUGGUCGGGCUUCACAAGUCCCAUCCUGGGGCCAGUGGUUGGGGGGUCAAUGGCUACCCAAGUAUUUUCUGUUCAUGGCAAAGGCAGAAUUUCUAGAACUCAAGCCCCACCAUGGAAACACAUUUUAAGCUUCUGCUUGCACCGUAUCUCCUAAUAUCGCAAUAAACAAAUCAAAUCACACGACCAAGCAUAAAAUCCAUUCUGUGUCUGUGAUACCCACACCAUCAUGUAGACUCAUAACGCUCUUAUGGAGGAGUGAAGAAUUAGAGGCAGGCAUUCUACCUACACAACCAGCCGGGCUGGAGGUGAGCAUGGAGAGCAGCAAGCACACUGCUGGUCUGAAAGCAAAUAUGGAGGAAGUGUGAGUGUCUAAAUCAGGAAUACAAACAUGAUUUGGUGAACCUUAAGAGUCAAGGACUAUUUUAAAAUAGGAAUUGGCUUUAGGGAAAUGGGCUACUGAAAGGAGGUGUUUAGAAAUAUGCUCUCGAGCUCACUGGAGCAUGUCUUCAGCUCACUGAGAUCUCUAGCUCUUGUUCUCCCCAGGCUAUCAUAUCUCUUUUCCCUGCAUAACCUGGGCCACAGGUUGGUUGUCCUCAUCACACUCAACUGCACCCCAAACUCACCUGCAUCUAUCAAUUCCUCAUCUCCACAUAGAGAAACUCCAAUACUAGAUUAAUGUAAUAGUCACUCAUCUUCACAAAAGGUAUUGUGUUCAUUCUCUGUUUCUGUUGUAAAAAAUCACUGCAAAUUUAUCAACUCAACACAACACAGAUGUCUUACCUUGCAGUGCUGUGGGUCAGAGUUCAGAAGGUCAGAGGUCCUGCAUGGAGUGGCUGGAUUCUUUCCUCAGGGUUUCAAAGUUAAAGUGGAAGUGUUGGCUGGCCUGAACUCUAAUCUGGAGUUUGGUGGAGAAUCCACUGCUGGGUUUAUUCCAAACUCAUUGGACUUGUUUAUUCCAAAUUCAUGGAAUUUGCUUCCAUGCAGUUGUGGGACUGUGGUCAGCUUGGUUCCUCUUGAGCUUCCAGAUCCCACCUUCAUUCCCUGGCUCAUGGCCAGGUGCUUUUCACCUUUCAGCCAGUGUCACAUGCACUGCACGCCUCAAAUCUGACUUCUUCUGCUGCAUCUCUUUGUUUUCUGUCCACCUUUUUGAGGGUGUGUGUGGUUACAUUGGGCCCACCCAAAUAACCAAGGAUAAACCUUAUUUUAAGGUCAACUGAUAAGUAACCUUAAUUACAUCUGCAAAGUCUCCUUUUCCAUGGAAGGCAACAUAUUCCAAGGUGCAGCAUGGCAGCACAACACAGGUGGUGGGGCAUCUUCCUGGAGCAUGAGUUUCCUCCCACCACCGCAAUCUGCUCUGGUGACAAAUGGUACUGGAGAAUGCCCUGAACCACGUAAAGUCUCCGCCCUGGACAAAGUCCACUGUGAAUGAACUCACCCAUGCCAGUGAGCUCUCCAUUCCAUCCUUAAUUCUUUCCAUGUCUUUGCUUGGUUAGCUCACCCAUCACUCUCAAGCUAAAUCCAAAGUCCCAAAGUCCCAAGAUCCUCCAUCAGCCCUGCACAGGAGCCCAUCACUCUUUUUUUUUUUUUUUCUUGAGAAGGAGUCUAGCUCUGUGUUGCCCAGGCUGGAGUGCAGUGGCGUAAUCUUGGCUCACUGCAACCUCUGCCUCCCAGAUUUACACAAUUCUCCUGC